CGGGUCUCCUUGCAAGAGGCGGCAGCUCCAGAGCAGAGUACCAACUGCGGCGGUCGGCGUCAUGGCAGGGCAGGCGUUUAGAAAGUUUCUUCCCCUCUUUGACCGAGUUUUAGUUGAAAGGAGCGCAGCUGAAACUGUAACCAAAGGAGGUAUUAUGCUUCCAGAAAAAUCUCAAGGAAAAGUGUUGCAAGCAACAGUAGUAGCUGUUGGAUCGGGCUCUAAAGGAAAGGGUGGAGAGAUUCAACCAGUUAGUGUGAAAGUUGGAGAUAAAGUUCUUCUCCCAGAAUAUGGAGGCACCAAAGUAGUUCUAGAUGACAAGGAUUAUUUCUUAUUUAGAGAUGGUGGCAUUCUCGGAAAGUAUGUGGACUGAAAUCAUUAUUAAAAUGGCAUGAAGUGAAGCUGCCCAUUCCAGUGAAGUUGUGAAAUCUUUCAUCAUGUAAAUAAUUUUCAUGUCUCUCUUUUAUAAUAAACUAAUGGUAUCCAAACUAAUGAUA